GUAAGGAAUAUUGGACAAUGGGCGAAAGCCUGAUCCAGCCAUGCCGCGUGUGUGAAGAAGGUCUUCGGAUUGUAAAGCACUUUAAGUUGGGAGGAAGGGCAGUAAGUUAAUACCUUGCUGUUUUGACGUUACCGACAGAAUAAGCACCGGCUAACUUCGUGCCAGCAGCCACGGUAAUACGAAGGGUGCAAGCGUUAAUCGGAAUUACUGGGCGUAAAGCGCGCGUAGGUGGUUUUGUAAGUUGGAGGUGAAAUCCCCGGGCUCAACCUGGGAACUGCCUCCAAAACUGCAUGACUAGAGUACGGUAGAGGGUAGUGGAAUUUCCUGUGUAGCGGUGAAAUGCGUAGAUAUAGGAAGGAACACCAGUGGCGAAGGCGACUACCUGGACUGAUACUGACACUGAGGUGCGAAAGCGUGGGGAGCAAACAGGAUUAGAAACCCCGGUAGUCC
rnacentral:rRNA from 1 species